UACGUAGGGGGCAAGCGUUGUCCGGAAUCAUUGGGCGUAAAGAGCGUGUAGGCGGCCAGAUAAGUCCGCUGUGAAAUCUCGAGGCUCAACUUCGAGCUGUCGGUGGAAACUGUCUGGCUAGAGUCCGGAAGAGGAGAAUGGAAUUCCUGGUGUAGCGGUGGAAUGCGCAGAUAUCAGGAGGAACACCGGUGGCGAAGGCGGGUCGCUGGGACGGUACUGACGCUGAGGCGCGAAAGCCAGGGGAGCGAACGGG
rnacentral:rRNA from 1 species